UACAGGUGCACGUUGCGUCACUCCCACCGUUUCCUGCUUCGAUGGUCAAACGAAGGAAGAGCCUAGUUUGUCCCACCACCAGUCUUAUGAUCAGAUGAGUUGGAAUCACACCUCACAAGUUCUGGUCCAUCCUGACAUGACAGCAUCAGCUCCAUUCAUGAUGAGAACCUUCCGUUCCACCACAUCCCAAAGGUUCUGCACUGGACUGAGAUCUGGUGACUGUGGAGGCUGUUGGAGUCCAGUGAACUCAUGGUCAUGUUCUAGAAACCAGUUAGAGAUGAUCUGAGCUUUGUGACAUGGUGCAUGAUCCUGCUGGAAGCAGCAUCAGAAGAUGGUCCAUAUGGUUAUAAAGAUUCAACAAAAUGCUCUUUUGAAGGUCGACUUUGAGUUUCUAGGGCAGGUGGCUUCUGAAUUAGGCAUCUUUGGACUGCCUGACAACUAAAAAUAAUCAUCCAAAAUGUCAGGAUCUGGGGUGAGUCAGCACCAUUCUGUUAAUCAUGCCCCAAGUCUCUGCAGGUGGGUGGUUCUGGAGAGCGGCCAGCUGCAGGCUAUUCACAAUCUACCGGUCCAGCGUUUAUAAGGAGCUGAGAGCAUGGACGUAAUUUUGGGGGGGACAGGGGUGACCUGUCCCCCCCCCCACUUUUUCCAAAGUCAAGUUUUUACCCCUGCACUUUUUACCAUCCAAAAACAAUAUUACGCUAUAUUAAAUUG